rnacentral:rRNA from 1 species
UUCUGGACUGACACUGACACUGAGGUGCGAAAGCGUGGGUAGCAAACAGGAUUAGAUACCCUGGUAGUCCACGCCGUAAACGAUGUCGACCAGCCGUUGGGUGCCUAGCGCACUUUGUGGCGAAGUUAACGCGAUAAGUCGACCGCCUGGGGAGUACGGCCGCAAGGUUAAAACUCAAAUGAAUUGACGGGGGCCCGCACAAGCGGUGGAGCAUGUGGUUUAAUUCGAUGCAACGCGAAGAACCUUACCUACUCUUGACAUCCUGCGAACUUGUGAGAGAUCACUUGGUGCCUUCGGGAGCGCAGAGACAGGUGCUGCAUGGCUGUCGUCAGCUCGUGUUGUGAAAUGUUGGGUUAAGUCCCGUAACGAGCGCAACCCUUGUCCUUAUUUGCCAGCGGGUAAUGCCGGGAACUCUAAGGAGACUGCCGGUGACAAACCGGAGGAAGGUGGGGACGACGUCAAGUCAUCAUGGCCCUUACGAGUAGGGCUACACACGUGCUACAAUGGCCGGUACAAAGGGUUGCGAGCUCGCGAGAGUCAGCUAAUCCCGAAAAGCCGGUCUCAGUCCGGGUCGGAGUCUGCAACUCGACUCCGUGAAGUCGGAAUCGCUAGUAAUCGUGAAUCAGAAUGUCACGGUGAAUACGUUCCCGGGCCUUGCACACACCGCCCGU